GAUUGGUGGUUUCCCCUCUUUGUCCUCAGCCUCAACGCUCGGCAACCCGAAGUGCGCCCGCAUCAAGUACUCCUUUCCUCCCUGCCACAGGGGAAAGACUUGAUUGACCAGACGAUCUCGCUGUUCUCGGGCACCCACUUCACGCUGCCCACUGUGGUCUUGAACUUGGGAACCAUGAGACCAGGGUGCAGCAGCAGUGCAGAUGACAGCAGUUAAUCCAUGUUGCUGAGAAAGCAUCGUACCUUUAUCAUGUACUCGAUCCG